AUGUGAUCGUCUCUCGCAUAUCAAUAAGCGGAGGAAAAGAAACUAACAAGGAUUCCCCUAGUAACGGCGAGUGAAGCAGGAAGAGCUCAAAUUUGAAAUCUUAAAGGGUUUCCCUUUACGAAUUGUAGUUUAAAGAAGUGUUUUACUGUUGAGGUUUUGGUAAAAGUUCUUUGGAAUAGGACAUCAUAGAGGGUGAGAAUCCCGUAUUUGAUCCUUUACUUUCAACUUUGUGAUACACUUUCAAAGAGUCGGAUUGUUUGGGAAUGCAGUCCAAAAUGGGUGGUAAAUUUCAUCUAAAGCUAAAUAUUGGCGAGAGACCGAUAGCGAACAAGUACCGUGAGGGAAAGAUGAAAAGAACUUUGAAAAGAGAGUUAAACAGUACGUGAAAUUGUCAGAAGGGAAGUGUUUGACACCAGUGUUGUUUUUCUGAAAAUCAAUUAAAGAACUGUUUAUGCUAAGCUGUUUAGACUUUAUCAGCUAUCUGUUUAGUUUUGAGCUUUUCUUUAAUGCACUUUUCAGUUAACAAGUCAACAUCAAUUUCUUUUGCUGUAAAAAAGCUUGAGGAAGGUGGCUUGAGAUUCGUCUUAAGUGUUUAUAGCCUCUUGCCUAUGCAGUCGGAGAGAUUGAGGUCUGCAGCGUAGAUCCUUCGGGGCUAAAUGCAUUUGUGCUAAGUUAUAACAUUUUAUAGACAACUUGUUGACUAUGAUUUGUCUUGUAGCUUACUCGCUUAUGUUAUUUUACCUACGCUUAGGAUGUUGAGUAGCGACAUACGCAC
rnacentral:rRNA from 1 species